rnacentral:rRNA from 1 species
UACGGGGGGGGCAAGCGUUGUUCGGAAUUACUGGGCGUAAAGGGCUCGUAGGCGGCCAACUAAGUCGGACGUGAAAUCCCCAGGCUCAACCUGGGAACUGCGUCCGAUACUGGAUGGCUUGAAUCCGGGAGAGGGAUGCAGAAUUCCAGGUGUAGCGGUGAAAUGCGUAGAUAUCUGGAGGAAUACCGGUGGCGAAGGCGGCAUCCUGGACCGACAUUGACGCUGAGGAGCGAAAGCCAGGGGAGCAAACGGG